rnacentral:rRNA from 1 species
UGCAGCGACGCCGCGUGAGUGAUGAAGGCCUUCGGGUCGUAAAGCUCUGUUGUACGGGAGAAAAAACUAUGGCUAAUAUUCAUAGUCUUGACGGUACCGUAUCAGAAAGGACCGGCUAACUUCGUGCCAGCAGCCGCGGUAAGACGAGGGGUCCUAGCGUUGUUCGGAAUCGCUGGGCGUAAAGCGUAUGUAGGCGGGCUUUUAAGUCGGGUGUGAAAUCCCAUGGCUCAACCAUGGAAUUGCAUUCGAAACUGGAAGUCUUGAGUGUGGGAGAGAUUGGUAGAAUACCUGGUGUAGUGGUGAAAUACGUAGAUAUCAGGUGGAAUACCGGUGGCGAAGGCGGCCAAUUGGCCCAACACUGACGCUGAGACGCGAAAGCGUGGGGAGCAAACAGGAUUAGAUACCCUGGUAGUCCACGCCGUAAACGAUGGGUGCUAGGUGUCGCGGGCUUUGACCCCUGCGGUGCCGUAGCUAACGCAUUAAGCACCCCGCCUGGGGAGUACGGCCGCAAGGCUA